CCCGAACUUUAAGAAGAGAAUCAGAUAGAAAAUGCUUAGGAUUCGUGCAUUUGAGGGUAUGAAAGGAUGGAGAAAAAGAUGAGCCUACGGCGGCAGCAGCAGUGGGAGCCCCGGGGGCGGGCAUUGAACGCCAAGUAGUGGCGGUGGCGGUGGCGGUGGUUUUUCCAGUUAAUGUAGAAAGGGUGUGAUGGCGGAGCAGACAGCGGAAAGCUGGCUAGAGAGAUGGGGAAGUGUAAAGCUAUCUAAGGUGAUG
rnacentral:misc_RNA from 1 species